rnacentral:rRNA from 1 species
AUUGAACGCUGGCGGCAGGCCUAACACAUGCAAGUCGAGCGAGCGGCGGACGGGUGAGUAAUGUAUGGGGACUGCCCGAUACAGGGGGAUAACUACAGGAAACGGUAGCUAAUACCGCAUACUAUCGGAUAACCCAUAUGGGAUUAGCUAGUAGGUGCGUUAAUGGCUCACCUAUGCGACGAUCCCUAGCUGGUCUUAGAGGAUGAUCAGCCACACUGGGACUGGGACACGGCCCAGACUCCUACGGAGGCAGCAGUGGGGAAUAUUGCACAAUGGGCGCAAGCCUGAUGCAGCCAUCCCGCAUGUAUGAUGAAGGCCUUCGGGUUGGAAAGUACUUUUGGCAGAGAAGCGGUAUCUGCAGAAUAAGCACCGGCUAACUACGUGCCAGCAGCCGCGGUAAUUC